rnacentral:misc_RNA from 1 species
GAUGAAGAACGCAGCGAAAUGCGAUACUUGGUGUGAAUUGCAGAAUCCCGUGAACCAUCGAGUCUUUGAACGCAAGUUGCGCCUCAAGCCAUUAGGUUGAGGGCACGUCUGCCUGGGCGUCACAUAUCGUUGCCUGAUGCCAGUUUCCUCGUGAUGGGUGACUGUGCAGGGCGAAUGAUGGCUUCCCGUGAGCAUUGUUGCCUCAUGGUUGGUUGAAAAUUGAGUCCUUGGUAGGGAGCGCCGUGAUAGAUGGUGGUUUAGUGACGAACGAGACCCAAUCAUGUGAGACCCCUACCGAAUUUGGCCUUCAUGACCCACAUGCGUCUUUGGAACGCUCAUGACGAGACCUCAGGUCAGGCGGGGCUACCCGCUGAGUUUAAGCAUAUCAAUAAGCGGAGGA